rnacentral:misc_RNA from 1 species
UGUCAUGAAAUCUCAAUCCUCCCGGGUUUCCGGGGGAGAUUGGACUUGGGCCUGCCUUCUGGCUUGCCUUAAAUGUGUUAGUGUCCCAAGCUCUGGGUACGGACGUAAUAAGUUUCGUCUGUCCUUGCGGCCGAGGGUGCUUAUAACCCCCAUCUUUCAUCUCUGACCUCAAAUCAGGUAGGACUACCCGCUGAACUUAA